rfam:Stegodyphus mimosarum contig65853, whole genome shotgun sequence.
GCCUUCGUGGUGUAAUGGCCAGCACACUCGAUUCGUAUUCGAGAGGUCCAAGGUUCGAGUCCCGGCAAGGGUA